rnacentral:rRNA from 1 species
GGCGAACAGGUGAGUAACACGUGAGUAACCUGCCCUUGACUUUGGGAUAACUUCAGGAAACUGGGGCUAAUACCGGAUAGGAGCUCCUGCUGCAUGGUGGGGGUUGGAAAGUUUCGGCGGUUGGGGAUGGACUCGCGGCUUAUCAGCUUGUUGGUGGGGUAGUGGCUUACCAAGGCUUUGACGGGUAGCCGGCCUGAGAGGGUGACCGGCCACAUUGGGACUGAGAUACGGCCCAG